CACCUGCAGUCUUCACCACCUCGCCGGCGGCCACGGGGGCUAAAAACGAUAAGAGAGACGGUGGGGGGUGCAUUUUGUGGGCAUCUGACUCUUCCAGGGCUGGGCGGAGCCAAGGACACUGGGCUUGGAGUCAUUCGGGCUGGAUGGGGCUGAACCCGCCCAUGUCUAUGGCCUGCUGAGUCCUGUCCUCUUGCAGAGCUCUUUUCGUCAUCUGCGCAAUGGCAGGAAUGAGACGGAAACCAGUGAAGCGUUCCUCGCAGGGCCUGGACUUAUCUUGGAUAACAUUUGCAGUGACCUUAUGAGGUAAGGAUGGCCACUUGGAACCCUUGAAGCUGUGAGUCCCCUUGACUUCCUCCCAGGCACUGCCCUCCCAGAAGUGAAGGUACCAGGAGGCAGAGGAAACAGUAGCACCACGGUGCCAUCCUGGAUCCAACGGAGCAGGUGACAGACAGCAGGGGUCACAGGCAGGCCAACUUGGACUGAGGAAAAAAAAGUCGCAGGAAAGCAGCUGGGCAUCCUGCCUUGCUUCGCCCUUGGACUUCUGCAGGGUCCGUUUGCCCUUUGUUUGACUCCCAGACCCCACUGAGCUGGGAACCAACCAGUGGGCUGGAAGCCCAGGAUGGGGUGGCCCACCUAGUAGGGACGACAUUUACUUGCACAAAAGAUGGUCUCCAGGAGCCCCUUCAGGACCGAAGCAGGGAAACACUGUCGCCCUGGAGAGCUGGGAGAGGGGGAGGCAGCAGCAGUCGCUGGCCAGAGAGGGGCGAAACAGAGCUCAGGGUCCCUGCAGCGGGUGGGGGAAGCUCAGGUCCAGGUGGGCUUUGUGUUCCUUGAGGUUCUCCGCCAAGGUUCUGCUUCAUCAGGCCUCUGCCGAGUUCUCUGGCCUCACCUGUCCACCGCUGCUCCGUGCAGCCACCUUUCCCCUGCUCCCCAAGGUGCGUCCAUUUCUGAGUUUCCCUCCUCUGGACCUGUGACCAUGCCAUCCCUCCUGCCUGGACUGCCUCCCAGUCUCUCAGUAGUACCACCUCCAGGUUCAGCUUGUGGUUCCGGCUGGUGGGUGUGCCACAGCCAGACGCUGUGCUCAGCGGGGAUACCCUAACCCUGGGUGAUCUGGGGUCACUCCCGUCAACCUGGGGGGCUCUGCAGGCAGGGAAGAGCCUCCUGGGUCUCUGCUCCAGCCCUGGCUUUACACAAAUGUGCCUGAGAAAACACGGUGUCCUGACACCUGGCCUCAUGCCACCUGGUGACGGCAUCUGAGCCAUCACCAGUGAUCAUUCACCCCUUUUCCCUUUUCCAGACAGCACGAAAAUCCAACACGCCCCUCACCGGAGGACUGGGAGGCUCCCGCGUUUUGGAUUCUGAAAAGCACUCCCUCGUUCACGUCUGCCUGGAUUCGCGCCCUCAAGCCCCCUGGCGCCCACUUUUCUUGCUCUCCAAACACUCGUUGAGGCCCGAGAGGGAGAUGCGAAGUUUGCCCACCACUGCGCGUCCCUCCUCCGCGAGGCGCCAAUGGGCCUGAGUCAGGGGCCUCCCCUUCAUCCGCUGGUCCCUCCCCUGUUCCCAGCUCCAGUUCCUCACCCGCUAUGGCUGGCCUGGCGCCUGUGGCCGUUCACCGUCUGCGAGGCAUCUGCGGGGACUGAAGUCGGGGAGGCAGCGGCGGGCUCUGGCAGAUACCAGGAGAUCCCGCCCCUCGGCCCGGGAGACCCCGCCCCUCGGCCACGCCCCUUUCCGCUCCCCACCCCGCCCUCUUGGGCCCCCCACCCGGCCCAGCCAGACAGAGACCUGCCUCCAGGUGGGUGGGAGGAGACCUUCAGUCCCUCGCCCCGGGCCUGUUGUCACUACCUCCCCCAAACACAUUGGUUAAAGUCACCCGAUUAGAAGGGGCCACCUGUGAGACUUGGAUCCAAAGCAAACUAGCGGAAGCUGAAGGGUCUUGGGGCUUCCCAGGCCUCUCGGAGGCCGGGAUGGUCGUGGAGGAGGGAGCGCUCAGUGCCUGGCCUACUGCCUGCCCUGAGCCGGCUCCCUACAGGACGCUUCUCCUGUACCUUCCACCUGCUGCGAGGAAGGGCUGGGGGCAGGCGUACCCAUUUUCCAGAGGAGAACUGAAGGCUCUCACCCCGGGUUAGGCCAGUGGCCGGAGGCAGAGCCGGGCCUUGAACCUGGCUUUCUGGAUCUUCAUCCAGGCCAUUCUAAAGAUGAUCUGUGACAUGCCUGGCCUGGAGCCUGGCACACAGCAGGUGCUCAGUAAAUACAUAUUUGGCCGGGCGCGAUGACUCACGUCUGUAACCCCAUCACUUUGGGAGGCCGAGGUGGAUGGAUCACCUGAGGUCACGUGUUUGAGACCAUCCUGGCCAACAUGGCGGAACCCUGUCUCUACUAAAAAUACAAAAAUUAGCUGGUUGUGGUGGCGCGUGCCUGUAAUCCCAGCUGCUGGGGAGGCUGAGGCAGGAGAACCUGGGAGGCGGAGGUUGCAGUGAGCCAAGAUCAUGCCAUCACACUCCAGCCUGGGUGACAGAACAAGGCUCAGUCUCAAAAUGAAUACAUACAUACAUACCUAUUUGUAUUAGGAGGAGAAAACCAAGAACCAGAGAAGAGAAGAGAAGGGAAGGGACCUGUGGCCACAUAGCAAGGCCAUGGCACAGCCGAAGUCUCCUCUGCUUUCCUCAUGCAGCCCCGUCCAACCCAUCUCUUUCAUCUCUUUUCUUAAAACUUAAAAAUAUUUUCAGGGGGGUGUGGUGGCUCAUGCCUAUAAUCCCAGCAAUUUGGGAGGAUGAGAUGGGAGGAUUGCUUGAGCCCGGGAGUUUGAGGCUGCAGUGAGCCACUGUAGUCCAGCCGGGGUGACACAGCCAGACUCCAUCUUUUUCUCUGUAUAUUUUUUCACCUCUACCUGAUGUGACUGAGUAACUGCUGGGGUACAUCACCUCUUUCAGGUGAUGGAAAUGUUCUAAAGUUGAUUAUGCUGAUGGUUGGUUGCCCAGCUGUGAAUGCAGUAAAAACAUUGAGCCGUACACUUUAAAUGGACAAGUUAUGUGUGAAUUAUAUCUCAAUAAAGCUCUGUGCCCCACCCAAAUCUCCUGUCAAACUGUGAUUCAUAGCGUUGGAAGUGGGGCCGGGUGGAAGGUGACUAGAUCAUGGGGGCGGAUCCUUCAUAAAUGAU
rnacentral:lncRNA from 1 species